rnacentral:rRNA from 1 species
UACGUAGGGUGCAAGCGUUAUCCGGAAUUAUUGGGCGUAAAGAGCUCGUAGGCGGUUUGUCGCGUCUGCUGUGAAAACCGAGGCUCAACCUCCGGCCUGCAGUGGGUACGGGCAGACUAGAGUGCGGUAGGGGAGAUUGGAAUUCCUGGUGUAGCGGUGGAAAUGCGCAGAUAUCAGGAGGAACACCAGUGGCGAAGGCGGAUCUCUGG